rnacentral:rRNA from 1 species
GAUGAACGCUGGCGGCGUGCUUAACACAUGCAAGUCGAACGAAGCACUUUUGAUUGAUUUCCUCGGAAAGAUUUCACUUGUGACUGAGUGGCGGACGGGUGAGUAACACGUGGGUAACCUGCCUCAUACAGGGGGAUAACAGUUAGAAAUGACUGCUAAUACCGCAUAAGCGCACGGUAUCGCAUGAUACAGUGUGAAAAACUCCGGUGGUAUGAGAUGGACCCGCGUCUGAUUAGUUAGUUGGUGAGGUAACGGCCCACCAAGGCGACGAUCAGUAGCCGACCUGAGAGGGUGACCGGCCACAUUGGGACUGAGACACGGCCCAAACUCCUACGGGAGGCAGCAGUGGGGAAUAUUGCACAAUGGGCGAAAGCCUGAUGCAGCGACGCCGCGUGAACGAAGAAGUAUUUCGGUAUGUAAAGUUCUAUCAGCAGGGAAGAUAAUGACGGUACCUGACUAAGAAGCACCGGCUAAAUACGUGCCAGCAGCCGCCGCCGUAA